CGCCGGUUUAAACUCAGAUCAUGUAAAAUUUUAAAGGUCGAACAGACCUAAUUUAUUAGCGCCUACACCAAUAAUUAAUUUUAAUCCAACAUCGAGGUCGCAAUCCUUCUUUUCGAUAAGAACUCUAAAAAAGAUAACGCUGUUAUCCCUAAGGUAAUUUAUUCUUAUAAUCUAAAUUCUAGGAUCAUAAAUCUACACAUCAAUAUUAAAAUAAAGAAAAGUUUAUUAAAUUUUCCUAUCACCCCAAUAAAAUAAAUAAACUUAAAAUUGAAAUAAAAUACCUAUAUUUCUACUAAUAUAUUUAUUUAUAAAACUCUAUAGGGUCUUCUCGUCUUCUAUAAUUAUUUAAGCUUUUUCACUCAAAAAUAAAUUUUUAAAUAAUUUUUCUAGAGACAGUAAUUUUUUCAUCAAACCUUUCAUACAAGCUUUCAAUCAAAAAACUAGUGACUAUGCUACCUUUGCACGGUCAAUAUACCGCGGCCAUUUAAUAAUAAUCAACGGGCAGGUCAGACUUGAAAUCAUAAUCAACAAGACAUGUUUUUAAUAA
rnacentral:rRNA from 1 species